GAGGCAGCAGUAGGGAAUAUUGGGCAAUGGAUGCAAGUCUGACCCAGCCAUGCCGCGUGCCGGAUGAAGGCCCUCAGGGUUGUAAACGGCUUUUAUUCGGGAAGAAGAGCGAGGGUGCGCCCUUGUGUGACGGUACCGAAUGAAUAAGCACCGGCUAACUCCGUGCCAGCAGCCGCGGUAAUACGGAGGGUGCGAGCGUUGUCCGGAUUUAUUGGGUUUAAAGGGUGCGUAGGUGGCUUUAUAAGUCAGUGGUGAAAUACAGCCGCUUAACGGUUGAGGUGCCAUUGAUACUGUAGAGCUUGAAACAAUUGGAGGCUGCCGGAAUGGAUGGUGUAGCGGUGAAAUGCAUAGAUAUCAUCCAGAACACCGAUUGCGAAGGCAGGUGGCUACGUUUGAUUUGACACUGAGGCACGAAAGCAUGGGGAGCAAACAGGAUUAGAUACCCUGGUAGUCCAUGCUGUAAACGAUGAGGACUCGCUGUUGGGCUGUCACGGUCCAGCGGCUUAGGGAAACCGUUAAGUCCUCCACCUGGGGA
rnacentral:rRNA from 1 species